GACGAACGCUGGCGGCGUGCCUAACACAUGCAAGUCGAGCGAAUGAAGUUCCUUCGGGAAUGGAUUUAGCGGCGGACGGGUGAGUAACACGUGGGCAACCUGCCUCAUAGAGGGGAAUAGCCUUCCGAAAGGGAGAUUAAUACCGCAUAAGAUUGUAGUACCGCAUGAUACAGCAAUUAAAGGAGCAAUCCGCUAUGAGAUGGGCCCGCGGCGCAUUAGCUAGUUGGUGGGGUAACGGCUCACCAAGGCGACGAUGCGUAGCCGACCUGAGAGGGUGAUCGGCCACAUUGGGACUGAGACACGGCCCAGACUCCUACGGGAGGCAGCAGUGGGGAAUAUUGCACAAUGGGGGAAACCCUGAUGCAGCAACGCCGCGUGAGUGAUGACGGCCUUCGGGUUGUAAAGCUCUGUCUUCAGGGACGAUAAUGACGGUACCUGAGGAGGAAGCCACGGCUAACUACGUGCCAGCAGCCGCCGUAAGAC
rnacentral:rRNA from 1 species